CUUAAAAUGAAAUUGUAUAAAAUACAUUUAUUUUUUUUUAUGUUACUUUGCAUCGCGGCGUCAGUAAUUUCUAUAAAUAUACAACCUACCAUGCACCAUCAUGAUGGAAAAGCUGGUUGUCGAUGGUUUAACAACGGAAAUGGCAAUAAUAAUAGUACUAAUAGCACAAACGCUGGAUAAAAUGAAGAAUCUUAAUGCAGAUAAACCAAUAAGAAUGAAAAAUAUAAAAUGAAAAUAAAAUUAUACAAUAAAUAUAAAAUCAAUAAAAUAUUAUAGAACAAUUAUUUUUAUGCAAAAAACAAAUAAAUAAAAAAUAUAUUUACAUUA